rnacentral:rRNA from 1 species
GUCUGCAACCCGACUCCAUGAAGCUGGAUUCGCUAGUAAUCGCGCAUCAGCCACGGCGCGGUGAAUACGUUCCCGGGCCUUGUACACACCGCCCGUCAAGCCAUGGAAGCCGGGGGUGCCUGAAGUGCGCUGCCGCAAGGAGCGUCCUAGGGUAAAACCGGUGACUGGGGCUAAGUCGUAACAAGGUACC